AGGAUGAACGCUGGCGGUCUGCUUAACACAUGCAAGUCGAACGGAGUAGCAAUACUUAGUGGCGGACGGGUGAGUAACGCGUGAGAAUCUACCUUCAGGACGGAGACAACAGUUGGAAACGACUGCUAACCCCCGAUGUACCGAAAGGGCAAAUAUUUAUAGCCUGAAGAAGAGCUCGCGUCCGAUUAGCUAGUUGGAGAGGUAAAAGCUCACCAAGGCGACGAUCGGUAGCUGGUCUGAGAGGACGAUCAGCCACACUGGGACUGAGACACGGCCCAGACUCCUACGGGAGGCAGCAGUGGGAAUUUUCCGCAAUGGGCGAAAGCCUGACGGAGCAAGACCGCGUGGGGGAAGAAGGCUCUUGGGGUUGUAAACCCCCUUUUCUCUGGGAAGAACGCAAUGACGGUACCAGAGGAAUCAGCAUCGGCUAACUCCGUGCCAGCAGCCGC
rnacentral:rRNA from 1 species